UCAAAGGCUCCAUCUGGAGCCACAGAUACGUUCUUAACAGUGUCUU
rfam:Ovis aries breed Texel chromosome 15, whole genome shotgun sequence.